GGUGGUCCCAGGUGAGGCCAGUUGCGGCCGUUAAAGCUCAUUAGUGCCCUGCAGGGCACAGCAGCAAUGCCCAGGGUGCUGGGGUUGUCUUCUCCUGCUCCUGAGUCUCAUCUCCUGCCUUCCCCCAAAGAAACCAACGUGUCCGUGAGCGUGGAGCUACGGGUCACCAACCAGGAGUACACCGAGGACCUCCAAAACGAAAGCUCUGAAGUCUACAAGAGCUUCGUCCUCAGCUUCACCCUGCAGGUGGGAUGCUGUUCUUGCCCCUCUGGGGUCUUCCCUAUCCUUGUUAGGGGUGUGCUUGCUUUGGGGGGAAUCCAAGGUGGGGAAGGAACUUGCAAGGGAAGGGAGUGGGACACCGAUAACCGGCCUGUGGCCUCCUUCUCUUCCAGAUGGAAAUUGUCUACCGCAACAUUGAAGGCUACCAGGGCAUCAGGAUCCUGAGUCUGUCGUGAGUGUUGGGCUGCUGGCCUUUGGAAGAGGGUUUCAGGGUGCUCGGACUGCCAUUGGGGUGCUCCAAUGGGCAUAGGGUGUUCCAACUGGUAUUGGGGUGCUCCAACUGGCCUCAUGCUGGUCAAUGAUGAAGGGUUAUUGGGGUGCUCCAACUGCUAUUGGGGCUACACCAACGGGCAUUCGGGUGUCCCCUCAGACCGGGCAGCAUCGUGGUGAAUCACACCGUCAUCGUUGCUGUGCCAGUGACCGCUGAUACCGUGGAGAAGAUCAGUAACGUCACCAAGAAUGUGCAGGAGGAGAUCGUCCAAGCAGCGACCCAGCAGGAAAACUGCACUGAUAACAGUGAGCCUCUGCCCCCCAGGGACAGGGGUGGGAACUCCAAGACGGUGUUGGGGCCCUCCGUGACAGGGUUGUGUCCUCCAUGAUGGGGUUGAGUCCUCCAUGACAGUGUUGGGUCCCUUGGGACACCUUCAGACCUAGGUUUUGGGGGCAUGGUUGGAGUAUUCCUGGGACAUGGCUGGGGCCCUACCGAACCAUUCAGGCCUGGCCUUGGGGAAGAGGUUGUGGCCUUCAGGGACAUGCUUGGGGCCCUGGGGAUGGUGUUGGGGCAUCCUGGACAUGGUUAAGGCCCUGGGAAUCCAUUCAGGCCUAGGCCUGGGGCAGACUUGGCACCUCCGGGGACAGGGUUGGGGCCCUGGAGACCCAAGGCCUGGGCCUCUUCCACACGGCCUCUCCCUCUCCUUCCCAGGCACCUUCUGCUUCAACGCCUCCGAAGUGACGAUCACCAAACCCUCGUACGAGUUCAAUGCAACAGCGUAUUGCCGCCAGAUCGCACCCAGUGACUUUCAGAACUUCUACUACCCCAACAUCACCAAAAGCGGCCUCACCUGCGUGUCCAACUGCUCGGCCAACACCGCCAGUGCCAUCGACUGCAACGAGGGGCAGUGCCAGCUCACCCGGAGUGGCCCCCAGUGCUUGUAAGUAGCAUGAGGACACCCCCAGGGACACCUCCAGGGCCCUACUGAGGGCUCUUGGCCCCCUCUUGUGGGGGGCCAAGAACCAAGCACCAUGGGCCUAGCCAGUGGUCUUGGCACCACACUCAUCCCCACAUCUCCUCCCCACAGCUGCCGUGAGACCAACCUCUACUGGUACCAAGGCGAUCGGUGCAAGAGCCGGGUCAGCAAGAUGGCCGUGGGCAUGGGCCUGGCCGUGGCGGUCUUGUGCUUGGUCAUCUUCGUCCUUGCCGCCUUCCUCUUCAGGGCCAAGUGGCAGAAGUGGUCAGACAGGUGGGGAAAUCCCGUGGGGAUGGGAGUGGUAGGUGAUGGGUACAGGAGGAACUCCACAAGUAGAGGUCCUCUGUGGAGUCUCCAGUUGUAGUGUCUCCAUCCAUGGAAGUCCUCAUGGGCACCCAUCUGUGGUGCUUGGCCCCACCUCUGGUGGUCCUGAUGGAGCGGGGCUUGGCCCCCCUCAGUGCCUUCAAGACCCCCCCAGUUGCCUCCAGGCCCCCAGCUGAUGUCACCACCUCUAUACCCCCCAGGUCCAGCGACCUGACGGAGACCAAGCAGCACUGGUACGAGGAAGAGGAUGAAAACUGGGAAGUCCCUGGGGGCUUCACCAUCCAGAAUGAAGGUAUGGGGUUGGAGGGGGGAAACCCACUUAUGGGAUGAUGGGAUGGGGGGGUUGGUGGAUCCCCCACCUGGGGCAUCCCCAUUGAGCUCCUUAUUUCCAC
rnacentral:lncRNA from 1 species